GUUUUUUGACAAAUGGGAUAUAACUAGCUUAGUGACCUUGUCCCACCUCAUUUAUUUUAUGUUCUCUAUUAUUAGAACAAUUGUCCUUCGUAAGUGGUUUUCCCUACCUGUUUUCCAAAAACUAUCAGUGGAUCAUAUUUGCUAUGACAUUAAAUGUAACUGUGACUUGGCUUUUAAAGCCUUUCAAAAUCCAGCUCCACCAUGCCUUUCUGAAUUCACUCCCUAAAGCUCCAUAAUCCUGAGUAAAUUCUCAUUUCAAUUGGAAUCAUUUCCAUAAAUAUUCAUUGAGCACCUAGUUAAUCCCAGACACUGUGCUAUGUACUAGGAAUAAAUAAGAUAAAGUCCCUGCCCUAUAGGAGUUCAGGACAUAUCAGGAGAAUUAACACGAAUGUAGCUAUAAUAUAAUCAUAAUAAUAACAAUCAUUAACUUUAUUGAGCCCAUUCGUAUAGUCCAGGCACCGUUCUAAGCAUUUCAUAUCAAUGUCUUUAAUCCUCACAACAAACCUAUGAGGUGGUAUCAUCAAUAUUGUGAAGAGAGCUGUACUGGAAAUGGAACAAAGGCUACAGGAACAGAAAGGAUGCAAUUCAUUCAGCUUGGGGAUAUGGGAAAUGGUGUCACAGAGACAAUCUUGCUCUAUUCCUUAUUUAUGUAUACCCCUACCUCCUGGAAAGGAAUCAGGACAGCUCACACUGGGAAAGAUUCAGAGCAUACAUACAAAAGCCUUGAGACUGGAAAGAUUAUUUGGAAGUUGGGCAGAAGAGCAGGUCACAAAUAGACUAAGAAAGAGAAGCCAUGUUAACAGGAGGAAUACCAGAUAAGACAGAGGGCUUCCAGAUUUAUUGGUGUGAUAAAUGUAAAAACACUGUCACAGAGUCUGGGGAAGAAAGUCUUUCAAGAAGAAAGGAAUGGUCAAUCACGCAAAAAUACUGCUGAGAGGGGCGAAGCAAGGAGAAGAAAGAAAAAAUAUAUGAAUGCUGCCACACACAUCCAUGGUUUGUCAAUGCCCAGCCAUCCUUGGUGUGCAUUCUUAGUGAGUUUCUACUCCAAUUCUUCCUGAGUGAUUACAUUUUCAUCACAUUUCUGAAGGUUUUGCCACUUCUGCCAUCACAAUUUGAAGGUAACAUAGCCUUAUUUAUGAUAGAGAAGACAGAAGUAAUCAGAGGAGAACCUUUAUAAAUUGUCGUUCCCCUCCAUCAACUUUACUCUCCUUCCUUGUUUCCUUUCUGCUUCAAUAGAAGUGACAGCUCGAGUCCCAUUCUAUUUUAAUUUCCUCCUUGAAUGUUUUGCCUCCCCUAUAUUGUCCCUGAUGGUUUUGUUUGUGAUAAACACCUAAUUCAAACUAACGUAGGCAAAUGAACCCCAAGGAUAGGGCUGGCUUUAACCACAACUAGUUCCAAGAGUUCAAAUUCGGUUUUCAGGACUUUGCCUUUUUCUUGUCCCCUCUGAGCUUUUCUUUCCUCCAUCCCUCAGCACAAGGAAGGUCACCUCCAGGUGGGUGGUAAAGAUUGCCACCAGCAAUUCUAACUUUUG
rnacentral:lncRNA from 10 species